rnacentral:tRNA from 1 species
CCGAGGGCGCCAUAAGAACUGCUAACUCUUCAAUCUGGGACUAAUAAACCAGCCCCCUC